AUUUAUAUAGCUUAUAUAAGAGCAUAAUAUUGAAGAUAUUAAGGAAACAUUAGUUUAUAAAUA
rnacentral:tRNA from 1 species